GGUCGGAUGGUGUAGAUUGGUUAUCACGUUUCCUUAACAGACGUUUAGCGGAAAAGGCCCCGAGUUCAAGUCUCGGUCUGAUCA